UUAUAUUAAACCCCGGGUUAUUGUGUUAUUGAUAAAUGAUUAUAUUUUUUAAAACUGAUUUUCAUAUAUUGUUUCGAAAAUUCUAGAUGAUUAUUAUGUGAAUAUAUGUGUGAGGUGAGUAAGUGGUAUUGGUGGAUUUGUUGGUUAAUUAAUUAUGGUUAAUUAUGAGUAUUAUAUGAUUAAUAUAUGAAUUUUUGUGAAUUUUAUAUAUUAUCUGGUUUAUUGCGUUAACUGCUCAUAUGUGUUCGGAUUUGAGAUAUUUCAAUUUCUAUAUGAUCAGGAUAAAAUAUAAUUUAUUUAGAUAUUUUCAUAUCGAUUUAUGGAAUGUUAGAUGAUUUUAUAAUCGAUUUACGGAUUUAAUUGCGUAUAUUUAUAUUUAUAUAUUAAUUAUUUGACUUCCGUAAAACCGUCCACUCGUAACGAGGUAGCAAAUUUUCUUUCCGGAAGUUUCAACAAAACUUACCUUUAACCUAAUUUCAAUAUUCCGGACAUUUUUCGUGUUUUGACUUUUUCGAUCCGGAGUACGGUUUUCCCCGGAGUCGGUCCGGCGGAGUUUUUCGGGUAUUUUAAUUGUUGAUAAUUAUCCAGUUUGUCUCGAUAAGCGUGAAACGAGAUAUUUUGAUUAUUAUAUUCAUCCUUAUCUUGUAAUAAUUGCAAUGGGACCCGCAGACCAAUAAUUGAGUUAAAAAGCCCCGUUUUGAUGAUUAUCUCGAAAACCGGUACCGAUUGGAUCCCGCUUUAUUAAUAUAAAGCUAUUAAAUACGUAUUUUCAUGUCAUAUACGAUCCAAAGGGGUACCAAUUAUUUGUAAAUAUAAAUAAACCUUUCUACACCUUAUUUUCCACCGUAAAAUCAUUUCACCAGUUUCUCUGCACGAAUACCGAGAGAAACCGAGCGGUGUUCUUCGCGUUCUUCAUAAUCAAAUGAAGAUUUGAAGGUGUUAUUGGAGUCAGAAUCAAGCGUGCAAAUAGUCAAAUCGAAGAUAUCGAAGAGUAGAACCCAAAUCAAUCAUCAAAAACAACAUGAGAUUCACAGGAUUUGGACGAGACGUGUACGCUCGAAGACGUCAGAAAGUCGGAAUGGUAUUGCAAAGCGAAUAAGGGAUGAUUGAGUAAGCGAAGCGAAGUGGCGAAUAGAGUAUAGCUAGAGAUGGUCUAGAGAUUACGAGAUGCAUAGAUUGUGAAAGUUGAAAGAUGAGGUUGAGCUAUGAAACUGGAGUCAGAUUUAAGAAAGGCUUAAAGUUGAGAUGAUUGAUUGAGAUUGUGGAUAAGGCUAAUGCUAGGCGAGGAGACAGAGUUGAGGAUCCAGUGGUCGAGGAGUGUUCAGGAAAGUUGAUGAGGUUGGUGAAAGCUGGAAUAGUUGACAGUGAUUCCUCUUAUCGAAGAUGAUCUGAUUUGGUAAGAAAUGCUGUGUAAUAUUAGUGGUGGAUUCUAAUUUCAAUACUGUAACCUGGAUGCGAUCCUGUUGUUUAGGGGGUUGAAAUGUGCUCUUUCAAAUAUUUUAUGAUGGCUUUCAAGUUUUGAAUUUCAAGUUUUAAAAUUCUUUUGGAUUUUCAUUAUCUUUAUAAAAAAAAAAAAAUAUUGCAGGUUUUUUUUUAAGGUGUUUUAAAAAUGGUUUUUGUGUGGUGACGUCAGAAUCCAGACCCCCGGAUUCUCGGGCCGUCACAGUUGGUAUCAGAGCAACAGGUUAUAAGUAUUUGAAAUUAGAAUAUAGAUCAUAGUUAUAGGUUUUCUAGAGAAGAAUGUUGGGUGACCUCGGAUAGAGGUAUUGUGAGACUAUUUAGAAAUAGUCUAGGGAUGUGAUAGAGAAAUAGAAUCUAGUUAGAUGAUUAAGUUGAGUGCAUAAGUUUGGAGAGAUUUUGAUUCCUAAGUUAGACAUAUGAUUUUUGGUAUGUUGACUAAUUGAGAUGAUGAAUUGUGAGAAAGGUCAAGAUUAGACCCAGAUAGAAAAGUUGAUAGUGAAUGACUGAGUUGAGAAUGGUGAAAAUGCAGAGUUCAGAGUAUUCUGACUAUACUGCAUAGUUGAAAAUGAUCUAUUGUAUUGAUUUGAGGAUGAUAUAAAUGCAUGGUUCAUAGUAUGUUGACCAUGUCAGAUAUUUGGAAGAUGUAUAUUGUUUUGAGUGAAGAUAUGAAGAGUAAGUGUAGAGUAUGCGUUGUAUUGGAUUAGAAGGAGAGAUUAGUAGAUAGAGGUUGAUAGAUGAGAAGUGCAUGAUAGAGAGCAUGUGGAGUUGAGUCCAGUUAUUAGAGGUGAUGUCUGCGAGUAAGUUAGAACGUUAGUCCUCGACAACGAUGUUUUAAGUUAAGCGGGACAAGGCGGGCCCAUAACCCACAGAGCGACAAUUCAGAAAAUCGAAGAUAUGCUACGUGUGUGUUAUGGACUUCACAGGCAAUUGGAUGAAGCACGAGAACGUGAACUACAUGGGCCAGAGUUAUUACGGACGAUAACGUCUACGAUGACAUCUUACUAGGCUAUUACGAGUCAAAUCGAUUGAUUAUCGAGAACGUUGAAAGAAUGACAUAAAUCGAAUAACGAUUUCGUAAAGUAGAGUGGGAAUUUGAGAAGACCUUGGCAAUACCUCUCUUCAACUAAAGGUUCUUUUGAUUGUUUUCUCAUCAGUGAGAUAUUAUCAUGAUAUCUUUUCUACAAAAGUUUUGAUAAAUGAGAUCUUCAAUUUCUCAAAUUCUAAGAUGACAUUGGUAUUGAUUAUUGGUAUGAGUUGGAAAGCAAAGAUGUGUGAUAAAGGUUUGUUGUAAAGAGAUAGUGAUGUUCCUUGAUAUUGUUUGACAUUUCUUGACAUUCCUUGAUACCCUUUCAUCUACCUUGAUAUCCCUUAGUGUUCUUUGAUAUUGUUGAUAUUCAUUGAUAUUCUCUGAUAUUCCUUAACAUUUCUUCAAUUUGAUUGGGAUGAACAACCCUAUUUAUAGGGGACACAAGGUAUACCUGUCUGUGUGAUAGGAGUUGGAUGGGACGCCAUCACUUGUGUGUGUUGUGAUUACAAGAAGGUUAACAACCUUUAGUAGUGUCUAAUGUGGACACGCAACACCAAGUUCGUUGAUCAUAUAGAUCUCUCAGUCACUCCUUUAUUCAAAUGUGAUCUACCUUGAAAACAUUUUGUUCUAUUCAAAAUUCCACAAGAUUGAUUCUUGGGAAAUGAAUUUUGCAAUUGUAAAAGUUUGAUUUUCCUUUUUCAUUAAAGUUAAAGGUAUGCCAAGAUCAACCAAAGGUGAAUGACGAUAUGAUAUUACGAAGCGUGUACGUUUUAGUUUCUUCGGAGGAUUCCGAGGACGGAAUCCUUAUAAGGGGGGUAGAAUGUAAUAUCCCAUAUUAUUAAAUUUAGAUGUGAUUAUUAUAAAUCUAUUUGUCUAGAUAUUAUUGUUGGCUCUAGUUGAAUAUUGAUAUGAUUAUGUGAAUAGUUGUAUGUGAUUAUACUUGUUAUGUGGAUUAAUAUGGAUUUUACAGAUUAUGCAUCCUCCUUCUUUUUCUGAUUCCGAGGACGGAAUCCCUAUAAGGAGGGUAGAUUGUAAUGACCUGGAUUUUUAAAAAUAUUUUUAUUAGUAUUAAAAGUGAUUUUUCUUAAAAAAGAAGGGAAUAAGAUUUAAUAUUUUAUUCCAGUUUAGUGAGUUUUCAAGGUUUUAUAUUAAACCCCGGGUUAUUGUGUUAUUGAUAAAUGAUUAUAUUUUUUAAAACUGAUUUUCAUAUAUUGUUUCGAAAAUUCUAGAUGAUUAUUAUGUGAAUAUAUGUGUGAGGUGAGUAAGUGGUAUUGGUGGAUUUGUUGGUUAAUUAAUUAUGGUUAAUUAUGAGUAUUAUAUGAUUAAUAUAUGAAUUUUUGUGAAUUUUAUAUAUUAUCUGGUUUAUUGCGUUAACUGCUCAUAUGUGUUCGGAUUUGAGAUAUUUCAAUUUCUAUAUGAUCAGGAUAAAAUAUAAUUUAUUUAGAUAUUUUCAUAUCGAUUUAUGGAAUGUUAGAUGAUUUUAUAAUCGAUUUACGGAUUUAAUUGCGUAUAUUUAUAUUUAUAUAUUAAUUAUUUGACUUCCGUAAAACCGUCCACUCGUAACGAGGUAGCAAAUUUUCUUUCCGGAAGUUUCAACAAAACUUACCUUUAACCUAAUUUCAAUAUUCCGGACAUUUUUCGUGUUUUGACUUUUUCGAUCCGGAGUACGGUUUUCCCCGGAGUCGGUCCGGCGGAGUUUUUCGGGUAUUUUAAUUGUUGAUAAUUAUCCAGUUUGUCUCGAUAAGCGUGAAACGAGAUAUUUUGAUUAUUAUAUUCAUCCUUAUCUUGUAAUAAUUGCAAUGGGACCCGCAGACCAAUAAUUGAGUUAAAAAGCCCCGUUUUGAUGAUUAUCUCGAAAACCGGUACCGAUUGGAUCCCGCUUUAUUAAUAUAAAGCUAUUAAAUACGUAUUUUCAUGUCAUAUACGAUCCAAAGGGGUACCAAUUAUUUGUAAAUAUAAAUAAACCUUUCUACACCUUAUUUUCCACCGUAAAAUCAUUUCACCAGUUUCUCUGCACGAAUACCGAGAGAAACCGAGCGGUGUUCUUCGCGUUCUUCAUAAUCAAAUGAAGAUUUGAAGGUGUUAUUGGAGUCAGAAUCAAGCGUGCAAAUAGUCAAAUCGAAGAUAUCGAAGAGUAGAACCCAAAUCAAUCAUCAAAAACAACAUGAGAUUCACAGGAUUUGGACGAGACGUGUACGCUCGAAGACGUCAGAAAGUCGGAAUGGUAUUGCAAAGCGAAUAAGGGAUGAUUGAGUAAGCGAAGCGAAGUGGCGAAUAGAGUAUAGCUAGAGAUGGUCUAGAGAUUACGAGAUGCAUAGAUUGUGAAAGUUGAAAGAUGAGGUUGAGCUAUGAAACUGGAGUCAGAUUUAAGAAAGGCUUAAAGUUGAGAUGAUUGAUUGAGAUUGUGGAUAAGGCUAAUGCUAGGCGAGGAGACAGAGUUGAGGAUCCAGUGGUCGAGGAGUGUUCAGGAAAGUUGAUGAGGUUGGUGAAAGCUGGAAUAGUUGACAGUGAUUCCUCUUAUCGAAGAUGAUCUGAUUUGGUAAGAAAUGCUGUGUAAUAUUAGUGGUGGAUUCUAAUUUCAAUACUGUAACCUGGAUGCGAUCCUGUUGUUUAGGGGGUUGAAAUGUGCUCUUUCAAAUAUUUUAUGAUGGCUUUCAAGUUUUGAAUUUCAA